AUCAAAAAGAAACAAAACUGAAAAGUCGCUAAUUAUCUUAUGACGUUAGAUUGGAUAAAACCGUACUUUAGGCAAUUAACAAAAUUAUGAGGUAAGUUCUUUAACUUGCAAUUUCAAAAACUUAUAAAACUUUUUCGAUUAGCAAUGGAAAUUAAGAAGAACUAAAGAUGAUUUUAAAACAACAACGUAAGAUCAGUUUUGGUAGAAACCAAUAAGUGCAAGCAAGACAAGGAGAUUGAAGCAGAACUGGCAGCUGAAAAUUUACUUUGAGGAACAAUUUUCAUGUGAAAUGGUGUUAGAAGUAUCUUCCAGUUAUUGGAUUUCAACUGUAAGAAUCUGUCAACCUGAUUAUGAAAAUAGGAAUAAAAUGGUGAAAAAAAUUGCAACAGAGUAAUGAAUGAAAAGAAAAUUAGCAAUGGAAUGGUGAGAAAAAUAGAAAUAGAAUAAUUAAAAAAAAUGAUCAGUCAGUAAGAUAACCAUUAAUAGUUUUUGUUUCUCAAAAAAGAAAGAAAUUUUUCUUUGUUCUUUGCUGUUUUAAACUUUGAUUUAUUUUCCCUAUUAAAAAUGUGAUAGCUGAUUAAACAUAAAGAGUUUGACUUCCAACCCAAAGAAAAUUACUACUGAUAUUAUAAUAAGGCAUCAAGGAUGAUCCUAUAUGAUUGAUAAAGUGUCAGAUUAUGUUUCACAGUACUUUGUUCAUAGUUACACAUUUCUUCAAUAAUGUCCCAUUGUGAUUUAAUUUUAUAAUGUAUGGAGGAUUGCAUGCGUGUGGUUUAAGGUGUUGCCUUCACUAUAGUUAGGUCAUAGUUUUAGUUCUUGGACCAGUUAGGCUUUACCUCUGCAAUGGCCUAGUGACCUGUUAAGUGGAGAGUUCUUUUACUUUUAGGAAACUCAGAUAAGCUCCAGCUCAUGAAUCUGUGUUUGUGGCAAAUUUAGGUAGAAGGAAUAUAGACUGGUUAAUAUUCCUUGCUCUUGAAAGUUGUACUUUGCACUUAUGGAGAAAAAAAUUAACUGGAUAUAGAAAUAUUAAGAUUUAAUCCACCAUUGGAGUCAUUAGUUUUUUGUUACACAAUCUAUCUAUUUGACAAAAUAUAUCAACCUCACAAAUACAUUCAGUUACUGAAUCUAGACAUGAAAUAAAAUGAUAACUAUAUAGAACUGUUUUGGCAAUGAGAUAUUGUUUGGCUAUAAUUCAUUUCAGUUCAGUACAAUUAAAUGAAAUAUAUCAUCAUUGUAUUUAGAAUGAAAAUAUAAUUGCUGCCUGAGUUGGAUUAUUGAUUUAUUCAUAACACUAAAAAACAACAAAAAAACAAAAACAAAAACAAAACAAAACAUAACUUAUCACAGCAAAUGUAAUGGUAAUAGAGAAAACAAAUGUAUGGAAAUGAAACAUCAGUAAUAUAUCUUAUUACAUAUUCAGUAUCACUAUGUAAUUAUCCACAUUCUUUAAUAUAGAAUCCAGCUGUAUGACACUCUUAAUUAAGAGAUUGUUAAUGACCUCAGUUGUCCAGAGUUAAAUACCAGAGAGUAGCAAAAAGUACAACCUUUUGUUGAGAUGACUACUGUCAGAUUGAAUGUUUUUUUUAGGCCAGCUAUGGCAAACCUAUGGCACAAGCAUCUAAAGUAGCACUUUGGAUUAGAAAUGAUGCAUUAUUCAUUCAUCCAUAAUUGUUCAAUAUGUGUUUGAUUCUUGCUUGAUUUUGUUGUGACACCAGCCCAUUACAGUUUUUUAGCUGUCAGAUUGCAGUAGGCACUCCUAUGCUAUACAGUUGUACUUUGUUUGAUAAGGGUCUGUAAUUUUUUGAAAAUUAGGCCUUGUUUUAAUUUUUUUCCAUCUCAGUGCAAAAGAAAAACAGUGACAGCAAUUGUGAAUUCAACAAACAGUGGGGGGAAAAAGCUCUUGUAGUAGGCAAUUCAGGAAAACUUUUGUGAAUUGUUUGUGAAGAUAGUUUCACAUAUUAAAAGACAUGAUCUUAACACACUGUACAAAACAUAACAUAAGACUUAAAUAGAAGGUAAGCUGAAGUUAGUGCUUGGGUGUGAGUUGAUAAAAUAUAUGUGUUGAAAGAAAUUGUGAAAGUUUGGUGAUAAGCAUUGGUAAAAGAAUAGUAGAUAUUCUUUGAUGGAAGGAGAAAUUGUUAGGCUGAGGUUGCAAAUAAAUUUUGGUAAUGGAAAAUAUUAAGGAAAAAAGUAAAUGGAAUUAGUAUGUGAAAGCAAAUGGUUAUAAGACACACCAACUGUCUGUCUAUCUAUCUCUGUCUGUCUAUCUAUCUCUGUCUGUCUAUCUGUCUCUGUCUGUCUAUCUGUCUCUGUCUGUCUGUCUAUCUGUCUCUUGAUGUAUUUGAGCAACUGAAAGGAUCUUUCCAUUCUGGUGCUUUAUUCCCUGUAGCUUUGGAUAAAUCUACUGACAUAUGUGAUACACCCCACAUAAGAAUUUUAAUAAGAAUUUUAGUGACUUUGAAUUACUUGUCUUGAGUUCCUUCAUGGAAAAAUAAUAUCAGACUUAUUUAACAAAGUGAAGUCAUUCUUGGAAAGUCUAAGUAAAUUCAUCUUUUUAAUUCUGAUGACUGGUAAAGCUGUUGAGAUAACAAUUUUGCUUGAAAAUGUCUGCAAUCAUUCUCAAGUAAAAAUAUCACAGCAUUGUAUGCCAAGGACUUUAAACCUGCAGUGCAAAAAUAUUGAGUGUUGUGAAAUGUUGGCAUAAAAUUGGGACAAGAACAUUAAAAAGAUAAAAAUUCAGAGGAUACUACAAAAUGGUAGAUUUGGAAUAUGGCAAUCAUGCCAGCUCAUCUAUUAUAUAGGAAAGCUAACCCACCUUUCAAUUAUUUAGCUAGUUUUCUAGAGGGCAGGUUCUAAGUAGAUUUUUGGAAAAUGAAAAAUUCUGCUAGUAAUGUUCUAGAAGACGAAAAUUACUUGCUUAACAGUAGAGCCCUUUUAUAUUUUUUUUUACUUGUUUCAGUCAUUUGACUGCAGCCAUGCUGGAGCACAGCCCUGUAGAGUUUUUUAGUUGAACAAAUCGACCCCUGGACUUAUUUUUUUUAAAGCCUAGUACUUAUUCUAUCAGUCUCUUUUGCCGAACCACUAAGUUACAGGGAUGUAAAUACACCAACACCGGUUGUCAAGCAGUGAUGGGGGACAAACACAGACACAAAGACAUACACACACACACACACACACACAUACGAUAGGCUUCAUUCAGUUCCUGGCUACCAAACCCACUCACAAGGUUUUGGUCAGCCUGAGGCUAUAGUAGAAGACAGUUGCCCAGGUGUCGUGCAGUGGGACUGAACCCAGAACCAUGUGGUUGGGAAGCAAGCUUCUUAUCACACAGUGAUGCCUGUGCCUAUAAUAACAAUUUUUUAUUUGAUUUAGAUUUUUAUUUAGCUGACAUUAUUAGAUGUAUCAAUGAUCUAAAUCUGAAACUACCAGACAAUAACAAAUUAUUUCCAAGCUUAGUAAAUGAUAUAUCACCGUAUUCAUGAAAUUAAAGCUGUUCAUUUCCCAGCUUCAAAAUGAGAAUUUGCGCCAGUUUUUGCUCUUAAGAGCAGCGUGACGGUGCUGAAGAUAAUGGCACUUUUAUAAAGUAUGUUGUAAACAAAAAAAAUCAGAUUAGUGCUAGAGCCAUUUAAAUGUUGUUUUCAUGAUCUUGUUAGAGAGGAAAACAGCAUACUCACAUGACAGAAACUGAAAGAAGCCCGU